CCCGGCUAACUUAGGCAUUUAUUAAUUGACCAAAGGGGGCAGACUGGCCAGGGAAAAAGGAAGGAAGGGACAGAGCGGCUCCCCUGGGACCUGUCUCCUGCUGCCCACAGAGCCCCAGCAUCCAGCACAGCUUGCUCAGCGUCCCCCCUUCCUCCUGCCCUGGGUGCUGCAGCCGAGCCUGGCCCCCGUGGCACAGGCUUCUCAGUGUCAUUUUCAUGACACUUAGGCUGUGGAUAGUUGUGUUCAUGGAGACAAAUCUGCCUGACCGUCUAACCGGUCAGUUCCCCUAGGAGGCUUCCUGACUCUCCCAGGCACUUCCUUGCCUCUGUUCAAUCAUGCUCCUUUCUUGACUUUCAAGAUCACUUUCCUGUGCACGUGUCUGUCUUCCGCCCUGUUCUCAUUCUCCCUGCAUUCCCUGCCGUGGCAGCAUUCAUAGUGCCGAAUAAAUACUGUGGACCAUCUUGGGAAACCCCAAACUCUCAGGAGGUGACAAGCCCUGGAAUCCACACUGGUAUCAGCUCUGUGGGCCCCGAGGACACAAGACCAUAAAGAAGACAAUCUGGUCAGUGUGAGGCAGCUUUCGUGUGAAUGCGUAUUCAUCACAUUUGUAUGCAGCACCCUCAGUUUCAGCUUGUUCAGUGAUCAUUAAGCCUGCGUUUGGC
rnacentral:lncRNA from 1 species